UACGAAGGGGGCUAGCGUUGCUCGGAAUCACUGGGCGUAAAGCGCACGUAGGCGGAUUGCUAAGUCAGGGGUGAAAUCCUGGAGCUCAACUCCAGAACUGCCCUUGAUACUGGCGGUCUCGAGUCCGGGAGAGGUGAGUGGAACUGCGAGUGUAGAGGUGAAAUUCGUAGAUAUUCGCAAGAACACCAGUGGCGAAGGCGGCUCACUGGCCCGGUACUGACGCUGAGGUGCGAAAGCGUGGGGAGCAAACCGG
rnacentral:rRNA from 1 species